rnacentral:rRNA from 1 species
CGAACGCUGAAGCCCAGCUUGCUGGGUGGAUGAGUGGCGAACGGGUGAGUAACACGUGAGUAACCUGCCCCCUUCUUUGGGAUAACGCCCGGAAACGGGUGCUAAUACUGGAUAUUCACUGAUCUUCGCAUGGGGGUUGGUGGAAAGGUUUUUCUGGUGGGGGAUGGGCUCGCGGCCUAUCAGCUUGUUGGUGGGGUGAUGGCCUACCAAGGCUUUGACGGGUAGCCGGCCUGAGAGGGUGACCGGUCACAUUGGGACUGAGAUACGGCCCAGACUCCUACGGGAGGCAGCAGUNGGGAAUAUUGCACAAUGGGCGAAAGCCUGAUGCAGCGACGCCGCGUGAGGGAUGACGGCCUUCGGGUUGUAAACCUCUUUCGCUCAUGGUCAAGCCGCAGCUUUGGGUUGUGGUGAGGGUAGUGGGUAAAGAAGCGCCGGCUAACUACGUGCCAGCAGCCGCGGUAAUACGUAGGGCGCGAGCGUUGUCCGGAAUUAUUGGGCGUAAAGGGCUUGUAGGCGGUUGGUCGCGUCUGCCGUGAAAUCCUCUGGCUUAACUGGGGGCGUGCGGUGGGUACGGGCUGACUUGAGUGCGGUAGGGGAGACUGGAACUCCUGGUGUAGCGGUGGAAUGCGCAGAUAUCAGGAAGAACACCGGUGGCGACGGCGGGUCUCUGGGCCGUUACUGACGCUGAGGAGCGAAAGCGUGGGGAGCGAACAGGAUUAGAUACCCUGGUAGUCCACGCUGUAAACGUUGGGCACUAGGUGUGGGGGCCACCCGUGGUUUCUGCG